rnacentral:rRNA from 1 species
CCUACGGGUGGCAGCAGUAGGGAAUCUUCCACAAUGGACGUAAGUCUGAUGGAGCAACGCCGCGUGAGUGAAGAAGGGUUUCGGCUCGUAAAGCUCUGUUGGUAGUGAAGAAAGAUAGUGGUAGUAACUGUCCUUUCUGUGACGGUAUUUACUUAGAAAGUCACGGCUAACUACGUGCCAGCAGCCGCGGUAAUACGUAGGUGGCAAGCGUUGUCCGGAUUUAUUGGGCGUAAAGCGAGGGCAGGCGGUUCAUUAGGUCUGAUGUGAAAGCCUUCGGCUCAACCGGAGAAUUGCAUCAGAAACUGGUGAACUUGAGUGCAGAGGAGGAGAGUGGAACUCCAUGUGUAGCGGUGGAAUGCGUAGAUAUAUGGAAGAACACCAGUGGCGAAGGCGGCUCUCUGGUCUGCAACUGACGCUGAGGCUCGAAAGCAUGGGUAGCGAACAGGAUUAGAUACCCUUGUAGUC